GGCGCUCGAAGGAGGCAGACCGAUGGGACUUACACGUUCGCUUAAUGUCCUGAUGAUCUGUGCAGCGUUCGCAUUUGUCGGUGCGAUGGUAAUGGGCCUUCUUCCAUAAGAAGGAUCAGAAACUGCAGAUAGGGGUCCUCAAUCCCAGGGGAAGAACAAAAGGAAAAAGCCCGGCACAGCGUCCGGGCUUU
rnacentral:sRNA from 1 species